rnacentral:lncRNA from 10 species
UGGGGAUAGGUUAUCCGUGCUCUGAGUCUGAGAAGGGGAUUUGGGGGAGGCUUAAGGUAGAAACAAAAGAUCUCAGUUUUGCCAUCCAAAUCAACCCAUGGCCAGAUCAGAUUUAGGAUUUCUUCUGAAUUUUGUCCUUGGAGGUGUGGGAAGAAUGAAUAUUGAAUAUUCAUACUCAACAUGAAUAUUUUGGAAGCUGGGCCUGAAAGUUAAGGUUCACUGAAAGCUAAAAAUGAGAUGAACUCAGUGAAAGUACUGUGGAAAGAGGCACCUGGCUGGAUAUUUGAAUCUUCUUAACCCUGAGCUCUGCUUCAGUCUCAUCUGUUGUGUUCAUGACAUGACUCUCUAAUCACUAUGGGCAAUUGGGAAAAUGGUUAUUUUCAAAAAGAAAUUGACUUGUCUCUUCGUAGUUUAAUGUAGAAGCAGGUAUAGUUUGGUUAUGGUGAAAUCUGGUCCAAUGACGGCAUCCACAGAUGAGGCCAAAGCUUGAAUGCCCUUGGAGCCUAUACUGCUUUUAGGCCCUGGCAGAAACAUGGUUUUUAAAUCACAUUCCAAAGUGCAAUUACCAACAAUGAAUAAAUACAUCAUAACAAUGGGGGAAGCAGAAAAUGACUUUAGAAAGACAGAGUGAUCUUUUGAGACACAGUCUAUAUAAUUCCUAGGAAGCCCUGAUAGUAUCUUCUUGGGAAAUCUCCCUGCUGCAGGAAACUGCCUUCCUAGAUUUUACCUCACUGCCUCUAGUUGCAGUUACUUCAGGUAAACAGACCUCCUUUUAACUGUGACUCUUCCUCAGAGAACCAAAAUAUGCUUUGUUUUUUCUUGGGCCCUAUAGGAUCCUGGUUUGGGAUAAAUCUCAUAUGUCUAUUUUCCAAAGAUCAUUUUGGUUUCUCUGUAUUUGUAAAUGCACUUGAUUGUAAUCACAAAAGAAAAGACAGUGAUGCACUGUGUUGGCUCUGAAGAAAAACAUUGACCAGACAGAAAGUCUUCCCCAUAGCCAAACUGAGCUGUAAUGACCGUGCUUUUCAUUUCUCCCAGGAAAUAGUAAUAUAAUUGGUCACUGUAUUACAGUAAACAGUUUGUUCAUUCUUUGUUCAGUAGAAAAUGUUUGGGAGAUAUGUCUCACAUAAUAUGCUGGCUUCACGAUAAUAAAGACUGGGAAUAGAUUUGUUUCUAA